CUCGAAAAACAUUAAUCCGUCGGUCAGGAUGAGGGAUUCCCAUUAGCAAAGACGAGGUCCACAUAAAAGAAACAGCCUCACUCGGUUGCUGAAGAACCUUCGGAUUUGGUUCCCACGGGAAGUGACCCGUGAGACCAGAAAUGUCGUUAGAGGGCUCAGCACACUGAAUGCCACUGAUCAAGAAGAUCAGCAAACGGAUAUUUCCUAAAAGAGACCCCAGUUGAGACGAAUAUCACAGUAUCCUUCUGCAUCCAAUUUCCAGGAAUUUGAAGAAACAUCACUUAAACUUCGCCUCCCCAUACAUUUUUAUCCUCCGUGCCAAGUCUUUGUCGAACCGCUCAAUAGCCGAUGCGAUCUUAUGGAAAUAGGUUUGAUGAGAAAAAUCAGAAGAAGAACGGGAACUGUCAUGGCCAGCUAAUAUAUGUGCGGGAGGGAAUUAAAAAUAAGCAGCUAGAAUAGAUACAGGACCAUUUCACCUUGAAAGAGAUUUAUCUUUCAGGACGAGUCGAUGAGUUGGAAGCUAUUGAAUAUAAGGAAUCCAUUUGCGCGUACUCCAUUUUGAUGAGUUUACCGCCUGCCACGUCCUGCCUCCGAUCCGUCUUACUUUAAUGUAUCUGAAGAGAAAAAUCGCAGCACACACCAUGCUUCUCCUGGGAAGAAUGCGCGGGGGUGAGAACUUGGCAAUUGGGUUAUAAUACUCCGACCUGCAGGUGAAAUU